UAAUACUACGGGAGGCAGCAGUGGGGAAUAUUGCACAAUGGGGGAAACCCUGAUGCAGCGACGCCGCGUGAGUGAAGAAGUAUUUCGGUAUGUAAAGCUCUAUCAGCGGGGAAGAAAAUGACGGUACCUGACCAAGAAGCCCCGGCUAACUACGUGCCAGCAGCCGCGGUAAUACGUAGGGGGCAAGCGCUAUCCGGAUUUACUGGGUGUAAAGGGGGCGCAGACGGCAAUGCAAGCCAGGAGUGAAAGCCCGGGGCCCAACCCCGGGACUGCUCUUGGAACUGCAUGGCUGGAGUACAGGAGGG
rnacentral:rRNA from 1 species